UUAACUCAAACUUGUAUGGAAUUGGAACGUUUGCCUGCGUUUGCCGCUGAGGUGCUGUUUCAACUGCAUUCAAAUUUGAGUUA
rnacentral:pre_miRNA from 1 species